rnacentral:pre_miRNA from 1 species
CCAACGUUUGACCGUUCGUUUUAUUUGAAAAAAUUAUGAAAAGAAUUAAAAAGAUAAGUUACGUAUAAAGUAUUAAUCAUGUUUUAUCAUCUAAUAACAAUGAAAAUACUAAUUAUAAAAAAUUUUCAUAUAAGACGGACAGUCAAACGUUGGCACAGAAACCCACAGUUUGCCUU